AGAGUUUGAUCAUGGCUCAGAAUCAACGCUGGCGGCGCGCCUAACACAUGCAAGUCGAACGAGAAAGCGGAGCAAUCCAUGAAUACAGUGGCGUACGGGUGAGUAACACGUGGGUAAUCUACCUCUUAGUGGGGAAUAACUUUGGGAAACCGAAGCUAAUACCGCAUAAGCUCGAGAGAGGAAAGCAGCAAUGCGCUGAGAGAGGAGCCCGCGGCCGAUUAGCUAGUUGGCAGGGUAAAAGCCUACCAAGGCAUAGAUCGGUAGCCGGCCUGAGAGGGCACACGGCCACACUGGCACUGAAACACGGGCCAGACUCCUACGGGAGGCAGCAGUGGGGAAUCUUGCACAAUGGGGGAAACCCUGAUGCAGCGACGCCGCGUGAGCGAUGAAGCCCUUCGGGGUGUAAAGCUCUUUCGUCAGGGAAGAUAGUGACGGUACCUGGAGAAGCAGCUGCGGCUAACUACGUGCCAGCAGCCGCGGUAAUACGUAGGCAGCGAGCGUUGUUCGGAGUUACUGGGCGUAAAGGGUGUGUAGGCGGUUGUUUAAGUUUGGUGUGAAAUCUCCCGGCUCAACUGGGAGGGUGCGCCGAAUACUGAGCGACUAGAGUGCGGGAGAGGAAAGUGGAAUUCCUGGUGUAGCGGUGAAAUGCGUAGAUAUCAGGAGGAACACCGGUGGUGUAGACGGCUUUCUGGACCGUAACUGACGCUGAGACACGAAAGCGUGGGUAGCAAACAGGAUUAGAUACCCUAGUAGUCC
rnacentral:rRNA from 1 species